rnacentral:sRNA from 1 species
AUGUCUUCCUCAGCUCUCACUUUUUCUUUUCCCACUGCACCUAAUCAGUCUACUCCAGUUCCUUCUCCCAUUCCUACCUCACCUCUUCCCAAUUCUGCAAAUAGCAUUACUGAUUCUAUAGAUAUCAUUGCUAUCUCUACUCCUACCAAUUCUACAAAUAUCACUGUUGCUCCUAUUCCUCCCAAUUCUGCAAGUAUCAUUCCACACCCCACUUCUAUUAUUGUCCCUAAUCCUCAAUGUGAGGUCAUUUAAUAAACGACUAUUAAUAAUUAUUAUAAUUACAAAAAAAUUCAUAUAAAAAAUAAAAAAAAGUAUAGGGGUAUUUUGGAAAAAAAAAAAGGUCCAAAUAGGAUAAGGCUUUUAAAUAGUAGUAUAGAUAAGAUUGCAUAUUAAAAAUAUGCUUAUGCUUUAGGGUAAAUAAUUGCAAAUAACAAAAUACACACAAACAAAGAGGAAGGGUUUUAGUCCGUUCAUCCUAUCAAUAUUCAAGUGUCUUCUAAUACUACACUACUUGCUUCUGUUUCAUUCUUGCUAUCUGGGUCCGAUUCCUCACUUGGGUUAGUCUCAAUUUUGCUUUACCAUUGAAAAUCUAUAACUUCUCAUUCAUAGUCUUCUCCAAUAGUAUUGGUCUUUCUUGCUUCUGGGUCUGUGAAACUUUUCAACUUUAUCGCUUGGGUUGGUCUCAUUUGUGCUUUUAUUCGUAGAUUUAUGGUAUUUUGGCACUUGGGUCGUUCUCAAAAGGCUAAAUUUUGUCUCUAAAACCCUUCAUUUUCUUGUAAUCAGAUAAGAGUGAUUGAAAAUGAUUAAGAAAAGGCCUGGUUCUUAUUGUUUUUACUAUUUCUUCAAGACCAGAAGAGCAAUUACAACUUGUACUUUACCAAUAGACCCUACAAAUGCUUCUGUUUCACCUAUUGCCAAUGACCACAAAUCUCUGUGUCUCUCAUUAGCAGAGCAGCUCAUUCAACGUGGCUUGUUAUCAUCGGCGCAACAAGUGGUUCGGAGAAUAACAUAUUCUGUUAUUAAAUAUUUUCAGUGCAUUACAAAAAAAUGGUCCAUUAACAAAUAUCCUAAGUGCAUCCCAUAAAUUUUCUCAUAAAUAAAAUAAAAAAGUGGGCUUCACAUAAUCACAACUUAUAAAAUGCAACCAUUGUACCAUAUAUGGGGAAAAAAAAAGUAACUGAUUUUUUUAAAGAAUUUUUUAUAUUUAUCAUGAAAGUAGUAUUAAAACAUUUUUGAAAUAGUUAAUUAACAAAUACCCUAAAAGUACCCAUUAACUAGACUCAUUAUUUAUUAUUAAAUGACCUCACAUUGACGAUUAGAACAUGAUUCGGAUUUUAGAUACAACUUAAGAGGGACAAUGGAAGACAAUACAACAUUUUGUUUAAAAGCCUAUUUUGUAAUGAUUAGAAGUAGAACUUCAGCUUACAUGCACUACUAAACAAAUAAAGGCUAUUAUUAGGAAAAUUAAUCCGCUAAUGUUGUUCAAUUCCAAGAACAUCUUCAAAGAUGUUCUUGCGAAUUGUAGAAAAAAAUCUUGUAGACUUUCAUUUUGUCUACCUGAGCAAAUGCCUUCUUGAAGCUGAUGAAGGAUAUACUGUAGAGAGCCAAAAUGAGGUGAAUUGUCACCUCAUUUUCUGCAAUGUGAAGAAUGGCUUUAUGCAGCAAGGUUGA